UGGUGAAUGGGCACCGCAAGUGUGACCCAAGACAACUGGAGGUCUGGGAGUCUCCCUUCUGUGUGUUUUAGCUCAGAGUCUGGGGUCUGGAAACCACUCCUAAUGACUGUGUGCUUGUCCAUGGGAGGCUCCUGAAGGACUUGCUGGAGGAGGCAGUGUGUUAACCCGCUGGGACGAAGGAGCCAUUCUGUCCUGUGCCCCGCUGCCUGUGUCUGAACACACCAACUACCUCAGUGUCUAGCCAGGGCACCAACCUCUGUGUAGCCCUGGAAGUUAUGGGAACAGGUAAAUACCAUGCCUGCCAGAUUCAUCGAGGGGCAUUCCCUUUGACUCCAGUUUAGGUGGUGAGGGAAACUAAAAUCUCCAGACUGCAUAACAGCUGCGUCUACUCCAUGCCCUCUGCUCCAGGGAGGCGUUGGUGUCACUGAGGGACAGUGCCUUUGCAUGUGUCCUCUCUCCCAGGGAUGAGGACUGGUUGGGCUUGAGAAACCUAAGAACCCUUGGCUUUAGUGGUAGAGCCCUCAGCAAGGACAUAAAAAGCAAACCUCUGUCCCAUUUGCAAAG
rnacentral:lncRNA from 1 species